AUGCUCACCCUGCCUGAUUUCAAGGUGCAAUUCGAGUUAGAAACAGACGCCUCCGACAAAGGAAUUGGGGCAGUCCUUCGACAAGGUAAACACCCAGUGGCAUUUCUCAGCAAGUCUCUUGGGCCCCAGAAUCAAGCUCUGUUGACAUACGAGAAGGAAGGGUUGGCUAUCCUUAUGGUGGUGGAACACUGGCGUACAUACCUGCAAAAUGAUGAAUUUCUCAUCCAUACAGACCAACGCAGCUUGGUACAUUUGGAGGACCAGCAGUUAGCGACACCUUAGCAGCAGAAGAUCAUGGCAAAAUUACUUGGGCUCCGGUACAGGAUCGUGUACAAGCAUGGAGUGGAUAACCGCGUAGCUGAUGCCUUAUCUCACCGACCAGGGCCACCACAGGGCGACCACACGACGGUUACAGCGGCCAUACCAGUGUGGCUCAAGGCGGUUCAGCGCAGGUACGCCAAGGACCCAGCCGCCCAGAAACUGCUCGCGCAUUUGGCAAUGGAACCUGAAGGCCACGACGACUUCCACUUGUAA
rnacentral:rRNA from 1 species